AUUGAACGCUGGCGGAAUGCUUUACACAUGCAAGUCGAGCGGCAGCGCGGCCUUCGGGCUGGCGGCGAGCGGCGAACGGGUGAGUAAUGCAUCGGAACAUGCCCAGUCGUGGGGGAUAACACUUCGAAAGAAGUGCUAAUACCGCAUACGUCCUGAGGGGGAAAGCGGGGGAUCGCAAGACCUCGCGCGAUUGGAGUGGCCGAUGUCAGAUUAGCUAGUUGGUGGGGUAAAGGCCUACCAAGGCGACGAUCUGUAGCUGGUCUGAGAGGAUGAUCAGCCACACUGGGACUGAGACACGGCCCAGACUCCUACGGGAGGCAGCAGUGGGGAAUUUUGGACAAUGGGGGCAACCCUGAUCCAGCCAUUCCGCGUGAGUGAAGAAGGCCUUCGGGUUGUAAAGCUCUUUCGGCAGGAACGAGACGGUGGGCUCUAACAUAGUCCGCUAAUGACGGUACCUGAAGAAGAAGCACCGGCUAACUACGUG
rnacentral:rRNA from 1 species